UAUACCAUAUAAUUGAUGUAUCACAUAAGAUAUAUCGUAUUCAAUUUAUAUUAAAAUCCGUGACUUUGUCCCAAGUUUAUAAUGAUUCUGAACUGGAAUCUGUAUGUACAUGGCUUAUUAUUAUGGUCGAGGUGAGCUAACCUGCGUCGCAUCUUCAUUCUCACCCUCAAGCUCGAGCUUUUGUCGUUUUGUACGAUCAGCUAUUGACAAUAAAAAGUCGGCCAAAAUAUCCCUGCACGCGAGCAAACUUCCUUACACGAACGAAAGGAGGUCAGCCUAAGCAGCGGAGCACACAGAGAUUCUCAAUUCGAUCAACAUAUGAGCUGCAGCUCACCUAGUAUGAGUCGUAGAGAAGAAAACUAUGGUAUUCGGAGACGUAAACAACCCCGCGCGACGCUUCGCAAAAGAAGUGUCAGUUUGAACAUUCAACCUGCUUACUCGUGGAAAUCCACAAGAACAUAUCGAAAACCGCACUAUGAAAUUUCUGAAUGGAGAGUAUUAAUGUUUCCUCUAAUCCUUUACUUCCGCGAGUGUCCACAGUAAAAUCACACACGCAUCGCGAUUUUCCCAGCCGCGAGUGUCCACAAAAAAUACAACAAAUUACAAUAGAUGUUCGUUAUGUCCCUCGUUUUCUUGUAAACAGAUCCUGACUCUUCUCUUAAAAUUUUGCUGUAUUGUGUUUUCAUGUGUCUCAGUAGUAAAAAUCGAGAGGAUUUAAAUCUGGUGACUGAGCAGACCAAAACACAGGUCUUCUUCAACCGAUCUACCAUCCUGUUUCCAAAACAACUGGUCAAGUGCUCUUGCAGUACACGCACUACGCGCACUGAAUAUACAAUACACUCAAUUUCUUGCUUCAAAAUAGCUAAAACAUGGUAGUGUAAUGAUGGAGAGUUCAUUCAGAAAGAAAAAUUUACGGUACUCAUUACCGAUGAUUUCAUUUUCUUUGUAUAACUCGGAAUUAUUCAAGAACAGUUAUGAUAUUUAAGAAGUUCUUUUUGAAAGCAAGGGUACGAUAUUGAGGAAGCGAAGAGGCUGUAUAUCAAAAGUGUUUAAAAAAACCUAUUUUACACAAUCUUUAAACUUUAUAUAGCUAGAGAUUUAUUAGAUAUGCUCAUUGAAAAAGUGGACUUUCUGUUUAUCAAAUGGGUUUCGGAAAUAUCUCAAUUCUUCAAGCCUUAUUGUCUUCAGUUUUUAUGACCAUAACGUGUUUUAAACAUGGAAAGAAAAAAGUUAGAAGAAUGCUCUAAGAAAGCUCUAGUAUAGAAAAGAAGCAUAACUAUCGCAUUUAUUAUUUAUUUUGAAGCAAACAUUGUGACUAUAUUCAUGGAAUAAUAUAAAAUAUUAAUUUAACAUUGACAAGUGUUGAAAAACCGACUAUAAGUUUUUCGGUAAAUAUUCAUUUUUCAUCACAAAAUGUCAAAAUAAUAUUUGAAAGUGUUGUAUGCAAUGUAGCAGUCUUUAUAUUGUAGCCACAUUUAUUAUAGAAUGUAUACAUUUUCAAAACUUUCGCAUAUAUACUUUUGCUACGUUGCGGCGGACGGGAAUAAUGCAAAAGUGCGACGUUUAUACGUUGAAAAAUAUCCCAACAGGACUAUACUCGGCGCACAGACAUUUUGUGAUAUAGCUCUAUAGCUAUAUGGGAUAAUACGACUAUGGGCACAUUAAAACCUGUCUUAUCUGGCAUACGAAUUCAAUACGACGACACGGACCUGGGAGAUAGAACACUGCACCGUAUUCAACAAAAUCCCAAUUUGAGUACGAGGACUAUUACUGCUGAAAAAGGUGCCAGCAACAGCAUCGUAUGGUCAGUAUUGAAGGGAGAAAAUCUAUACCCGUAUAGUAUCCAGAAAGUUCAACAGCUAAGAAUGAAUGAGUAGGAAAGUCCAACGCGAUCCCAAUUUCUCCGCCAGAAUAUUAUUUACUGAUGAGGCAAAGUUUAACAAAUAUGCAAUCACAGAUAUGCGUAACGAACAUUUCUGGUUAUAGGACAAUCGCGGUGCGUGUGUGAUUUUGCUGUGGACACUCGCAGAGGCAAAGGAUUAGAGGAAACAUUAAUCUCCUCUACUCGGAAAUUUCAUAGGGUGGCUUUUGAUAUACUCUUAUGGAUUUCCACGAGUAAGCAGGUUUAAUGUUUAAUCUACCAUUUCUUUUGCGAAACGUCGCGCGGGGUUGUUUACGUCUCCGAAUACCACGGUUAACUUAUAGGAGGUAAACUGUCGCUCAUAUGUCGACCGAAUUGAGGAUCACUGUGCGCCCCGCUGCUUAGGUUGACCUCCUUUCGUUCAUGUAAGAAAGUUUGCACGUGUGCAGGGAUAUUUUGUCCGAUUUUUGAUUGUCAAUAACUAAAAAUUAAAACCGAAAAUGCAAUUUUUGUAUUCUUGCUUUUCGUCUUAUUUCGGCGUUAAGAAUCACUCCUUAAAUUAUAUAGAAACAGUAGCUGAACACCCUGUAUAUUUAUAUCUUUUAAAUUAAUAUAGAAAGGAUCUGUAACUAGAAUUAUGGCUUUAGGAAGAUAAACUUUAUAUAUAUGUGUAUAUUCGAAGAAUUUAACAAAAAAAGGACAAUCUUUUUCUAAGAAAAUUCACGAUACUUAUAGUUCUAUUACCUAUUGCCUCUUGUAAUUCUACAUCAAUCUUCAAUAUUUUCAUUCUAAAUACUUGUAAUAGAGUUAAUAAUAUUUUUAUAGAAACUAAAGAUACUUACUAAUGAUUUUUUGAAUAAUGAUACCCAGAAUCUCUCACAACGCGU